UCUUGGCCAGCAGGGCCCGCUGCUGGUUCGUGGUCCGUCUGCUGGCCGCCGGCACCCACAGAGCUUUCAGCAGCUCAGCCCCCAGCCUGCACUGAUGCAUUCGUGAUAGUGAGCCAAACAUCUCUUGGUUCCCAACCUCAAGCGUUGCAUGUUCCAGCUGAACACUUAAGUUCACAGCUCUUCCCAACGCAGACAUACAAGAUGUGAUUUUAGAGCUGCCAAAGGCGACGCUGCCCAGUGAGAAGUGGGGUUGAGGUUUGCGCUUGGCUCUGCUGCAGGGCCUCCUGGUGGCUCUGUGUGCAGUGUUGCAGCGCUUCAUUUUUGAAUUCUUCAUUUAAAAGCAGGCCCUCUUAGAGCUUCCAGCAGUUUCAUAGAGAAGCAGUUGAAGGCAAUAAAAAGAUGUUGCAUUGUGGCCUCGGUGCAGUUGGAAUUGCUGUUGCCCUGCACGGCCCACGGCCUGCCUGCACACUGUGUGUAGACAAUUGGAGCGUUGUCAGAGUGAAUGGAUGGGCUUUAAAGCUGGGCUUUCACAGAGCGGCAUGCCAGCGUAACCCUGAUGUGGGGGAAAAUGCAGUGGUUCUCUGUGCUGCCAUAAUGGUUGGGUGCUGGCGUGGUUUGGGAUCAGUAGAGACGCUGUUGUCUGCGGGGCUGACUGCAGGACUGGUGGCAUUUGGGUUCUGCUCCUUUUCUGACCUUGGCGGGAGUUACGAGGUUUGCCUUCUCUCUAUGAGGGAUCACUGCUGGGGUUGGGGAGCCGCUCGGAGGUUAAAUGCUGUCCUGACUCCUUGUUUGCCAUUUAUUCUCUGUGAUGCUCAGCCUCUUUCAGAGCAGCUCUUUCAAUGUUACCUCUUUACCCACCGUGUCAGUUCUGUGUCUUUGGCACAACACCUGGCAAGGAACAGCCCAGGCUGAGGGCAUGGCUGAGCCCUGAGGGUUUCUUGCUGCUCCUCGGUGCUCUGUGCUGCGGGAAGCACCCUGAUGGGCCGCGUUCCUCUUUCAGAACGAUUUGUGGAUGCCAAGGACAUGCUGGAAAUGACUGCUUUAAACUGGGCAGCAGAACACAACCAUCGGGCCGUGGUGGAGCUGCUCGUCAGAUACGGAGCCCAUGUCCACGCCUUGGGCAAGUUUGAUAAAUCACCCCCUGACGUCGCUUUGGACAAGAACGAUCCGGAGACCCGGUGACCCUGCAACUGUAGCUGCUGCUUGGGCUGCAGAGAAAACCGCAGUUGGGGACAGGGGCGAUGCAGAAGGAGUAGAAAAGCCACCAGCCAAGAGGCUGAAAGCAGAGCAAAACAGGAACGACGUGGAGGAAAGUGAGGGCAGCACCGAAGGGGAAGCGGCCCAGCAGCGGCCCAGCACGGCACUGGGGAAGCGGAACAGCAUCAGCAAGGCGUGCGCAGCUGUGUGAGCUCAGAGGACGGCGAGGGAACCGCGCUGGGAACGGAGCAGGUGGCCGACAGCGCCGCGGGGUCCGACACCUCCUAACGGUGGCUGUGGGAGCGGGGCUGGAGCGGAAACACAGCGCUGCCGGCGCGGCUGCAGCCAGCGGGGGCCGAGGCAGCGAGGAGAGCUGGAGGUGGGGGCUGGGCGGGACCCCCUGUGUGCCGCAGGCCGAGGACGAGCUGCGAGAGCCAGGGCGGCUCCGGACGCACCGGCCGCUUUUUCACUGAGCAGCUCUUCUCUGAAGAUGCCAAAACCUUUUCUAACAACAGCUGUUUUCAUUGCC